CGCGGGGUGGAGCAGCUCGGUAGCUCGUCGGGCUCAUAACCCGAAGGUCGUUGGUUCAAAUCCAGCCCCCGCAA
rfam:Aeromonas molluscorum 848 Cont227, whole genome shotgun sequence.